GGAGACGCAGAGGAAGAGUGAGAUAGCGAUGGAGGGAAGGGUGGGGGAGGGGAGGGGGGAGGGGGGGGGGCUAUUUUAAGAACGUGAUAGGGAGAAGGCCGCUGCGCCCUCCUCCGGGCCCACGUCACGGAUCAGAUCAACUCUGCGACCUGCCGGCCCCCGAUCACGUGACCCGAAGUGACCUUGGAUAUCAGGGCGAACUUUGUGUCACGAGCAAAAAAAACAAAGGGAGGAAGGUGUAAAAGCAGAAACAGAGAGUAAAAAAAAUAAUUAAGCGGGAGUGUGGACGCAAGGACCAAGCCCGGAGAACGGAAGGACGAUGGGAGAGCGAUGUAAACUCAGCCAAGAAUGAAUUAGCCCGCAGCCUCGGCUGCCCCUAAGCCCAGGAUGGAGGAGGAUUAGUGGGCAGGGAUUCUGGAGUGUGUGUGUGUGUGUGGAAGUAUUCAACCGAGUGGGAGGAGAGCAGGGCGAUUUGGUUUAAAAAAAAAAAAAAAACAGCUUUCUCCAACAAAGGAAAUUCCUGCAUCUGGCAUUCAUCGCUGCGUGCUGAACGCGCAGGUUCCCCCCGCCGCUAUCUCCUAUCGGCUCCGCUUCGGUGCAAAAGUGCCCGGGAGUACUGGCGCACAUCGCAACGCGUUGCUCUGAAAUUGAUUUGGUGGUCCCCUCCACGAAUCGCUGACCUCAAAGAACACCGAUGCGGCUCAGUGAACGGGCGGUGCCCAUAUAUAUUCCUCUAUUCUCUAUUUCACCAGAAGUAAUUUGCGAGAAGUCCAUUCUGCAUUGCCAAAAACACCUACCCAGCCACCCACACUCACUGCCCUCCGUCCUUUUUUUCUCCCUCUCUCUGGCUCUGUCACUAGCUCUGCUAUUUCAUACACUUCUGGCUGACACCCAACCUUUGUCGGACCACCAGUGUGCCUGUGGCACCGCACCGUACAGACGAAUAAACAAACGGAUAGAGCUGACACCCGCCUGGCUUGGCCGAGUUUCGCGGCUAUAAAGGUUCGUAUCGUGCCCGGCUUGUGUCUCGUGGGUGGAUUUCAUUAGCUUAUUUAGCACAUUCAGCCCAGUUCCAGGCCGAGUCCUAUUGUGGCCCCCUGUAGUGUGAGCAGACCGGCUCCGUAAAAAGGCGGCAGUUAUCAGGUCCGCUUUGUGGGGGUGUCGAUUUUUUUGUUGCACCAUUUGGAUUGAGCCGUGCAGUGAGCGGCUGACGUGGCCAGCAUGGUGCGCCGCCACCACGAGCCGCGUGUGGCGUCACAACACAAGGGAGGCCCGCGAACGGGCCGAGCGGUUCGCCACACGCGGCGGACAGGGCGCCAGGCAUCGCGUUACAACCGUGACAGGCGAAGCUGCAACGGUACAUCGUAUUCUCGCAGGAGUCCGCGUGGAGGCUCGGCUCACGGUGCCGCCGCGAUUUCGCAUUACUGGGCUCUUCAGGGGCGCUUCACCUGGGGAUUCAGACCGCAUCUGUUGCCCCUCGGCGGGUUUUUAGACGUGGCCGAUGCUGAGCCGGCGGCUAGCGGCUAACGUAGCGAUUCUGCGAACACGUAAACAAUAAACUGCAGCCAUGCAGAAAAAAGGCCGACCCCUGUUACUUAAUUCAGUGGCUUUCUAUGACCUGUGGUGACGUUUGUUGAUCAACACACUGCUCGUGUCAUACCAUUCACAUGAGGAGAUAAUUGCACAGCGAUUACACACGCAGACUCAUCAACAUUACUUGACACUUGGGAAUGUGUUUGGCGAAGGCCGGAGUGACUAAUGUGUUCUAAAUGUUAUAUCGAAAACACACACAGCGCACCACGCUACUCAUGACAAUUGGGUCCGCGCACACACAAUAACGCAGCCAUACAAUGAUGUUCCGUCUGCAGAAUGAGAGAUGGAUUGUGAAGCGGUUUGGACGCCAUCCAGCUGGCCUCCUGAGCGCCCGCCGCUCCAUCUACAGAGGCUGCAGCGUUGAGUCAUCGCUCGCGGAAAGAACACAAACCUUACAGAACGUACCCGAGCGGAUGUUGUGAUUCACAAAUCAGUCAUUGACCGCCACGUAUGGAAUUUGGGAAACGUACUCUUCUGAGAGUUUCAAUAUAAACUUUUUUUGGGGGGGGAAGAAUGAAAGUCAGCGGGGGAGGUCGUGACUCGCGUUACUGGAAAUAAUGUCCCUGUCGUGGAUGUUCAGACGUUACUGUAAACUGUGCCUGUGACUACAUCAGAGUCCGAUGUGACACUUUUCUUUUCUUGUCCUCUUGUCACGGCACGUUUGUGCACAUUCUCUCCCACCCGGGCCGGCGCUCCGACACUCUCCCUCUUCCUCUCUCUCUGUCUCUCUUUCUCCGUCUCCGGAGCUCGAGAUGUGUCAUCAACCAUUGGAAUCCUUCUGCAGUCGUGGUGACCAGAGGCCCUUCCCACCCCCACCCGACGACUCGCCCUAGAACUCUUCACCAGAACGCAACGUUGGUCCCACUGCACGGCCGGAACAUGUAGCACGGCGCGGGGACGGAGGACAUUAGAGGGGUUUUUUAAAAACACGGAAGCUCCUCGUAGCAAAGUCUGCGAUUUUAUUCACGUCAUCGCGCGCGCUCUCACGCUGUCCCAAGCACGUCCUGUCUGACGCGUCUUCUUUUUUUACAAAUCAGUCUAAUCCGUCGACAUGCAGCGGCUCCCGCCAAGACGAGCGAAUGUGGAUUCCAUCGAGUGCGCGAUGUGUCAUCACGUGUGCCGGUGGAAGUAUGAUUACAUCAUAGGCGUGAUAUGUAGUAUGGGAGUUUCCAGUUUCAACUGUCUCUGCCCAACCGGCUAAGACUUUGUGGGAAUGUAAAAUAAAACCGUUGGAAAUAAAAACGAUUGGUCUCAAUUCAAAAAAAGCUGUGAAACAGUCAGUGGGAUCAAAUCUGUGUGACAGUUUCAUUGUUGUAUAUUUUAAAUGUGUUUAUUCAGUUAUUUAUUAGCUCAUUCUAUAUAUAUAUAGUAAGAAUUGUGUGUGACUUUUAGACAAAAGGAAAAGGUACAUUCAAAUAUUGCAAGAUUUAUAGAAGUAACAAGACAAGACAGUUCUAAAAAAUAAAAAUGUACAAUUAACAUUUAUGUUCACAAGUUGAGAUGCACAUUAAAAUGAAAUGAUAUCUAGGGUCUUUUCAGAGAGACGGUCCGCUGCGUUUCAGUGAAUGGAGAAAAUUCAAUCUUGUCGAAUACGAGCGAAUGUUCCACUUAAAAAGACUUUGAAAAGUUUAUGUUUAAGAAACUACUCACAAAAAAAGAUUUCUCAGUGAGGAAAAUACUACUGUUGUAUUUAUUUAAAUAUUUAUUUCCAGAUCUGGUUCAGCAUCUUUCAGUUUGAAAUGGACUCACAAUUCAAUCUCCUUCUCCAGUCUGCGGCUCGUUGGAAAAGGGCCGAACGUCCAACCUAAUUCAGAAACUUUAUCCACUUACACUAACGGGCACUUUAGGCUGCAGUCAAUACCAGCUCACAUGCAACUCUGCAAUCAAAUCAGAGACACGUAAAGAUCCCGGGCCCAGUUUUAGUCAAAGAUCAAGGGGCGAAGGCCGGGACAGGAGCCGGUCCGGCCGCAUCGAGGUGUCAGACGGUGACGAGGCGCUGCAAAGGCCGGACUUGUGACCCCCCACUGUGUGUGUCGGCGCGCGUGCGGGGGUAUGCGUGGGCUUCUCGUGGCGCGCGGUGUGGUGCUGCGAAGGCGGCGAGGUGUGUCCGUCCCACUCACAGCCGCUCGGCGUGAAUCAGGGAGGAAACGGCGGCGGGCUGAGAACGUCGGGGCACGGUUCAUUUCUCCUCCCCAGGCAGAGGGCGGCCCACUGGUGACUUUGAUGGAUAGGAAUGCUGCUCACCCACCCACACACACACACACACACACACACGCGCCCACGCAUGUCCCACACACCAUGUCUCGCACACGGCACACAGGAAUCACACGCAGGCUGCUCUGUCCCACCAGAUCUGAUAUCCGAUGAGAGAUGUUUACGACCCGCCCCCACACGGCCUUCCUCCCCUGUCAAUAAACUCUUCCCAGAAGUAUGAUGAUGCAUUAUCCCGUAGCCGCUUAUGGGCUUCGCUCUUGCAUCCUCCAUCACCGGCUCACCCAUGUGCAUCCUGCUGCAGCAUGCAGCACACAAAGGGGUGGAGG
ensembl:lncRNA